ACACAGUGAGAGAACCUGUUGGUUAGAUUUCAGAACCUCAAACACAAGCAAAGUCUGCAAUGGCAGGGGAUUGAAACCAUGCUCUUCCUCUGGAAGCUUUUUGAGGAGCAGCUUCAGUUAAUAACGCUUGUGUGCUCCUCUCCUAAAAUUCUAUUUUAGGAACUUUUACUUUCUCAGUUAGCAAGUAUGAAAGGAACCUUACGGAAGGAGACUGAACUGAAAAGGCUUUCAUCACGAGCGAAAUGCAUAGGACUUCAUCCUGCCAAGCUGCCAAGCAGAGGCGUGUCCCCAACCUUACAGAGCCAACCAUCAUGGCCCGUUCUUGCAGUUUUGGGAGAGGAAACAAUGGUGCAGACUUGGGGCAGUGAAACAAGCACUGACUGUAAGCAGCUGCGGGGAGACUCUUCCAUGAGGUAGGGAUCAUUGGCAUGGAUGCACUCCAGCCAAGAAACUUUGUGGCUCUGGCCCAUGAGCUCAGUGCUUUAGAGAACUCUUCAUUAAAGUAUUAUCCUCUCACACAAUGACAAUACAAACACAAAUCACAUAUUUUCACACAAAUUUCUCAAGAGAUGCAUAGUGCUUGAAAAGGAAGACCAGAUAGGAACACCCUUGUUCAUUGAGUAAGUUUAUUGAUUAUAAUUUUACAAUAAACUGAUCAGUGUACACCAUUAGCAAAAAUUAAAAACUUACUAGCAUGCUUCAUAGGCUACAAAAUUGUCAGUUAUCAAAAGUAUUAGAGAAUAGGCAGGCAGAUAUGCCUUAUAUGAGCUGAAAAUGAGUAUAAAAUCUUGCAAAAAAUUCUCAAUAGCAUCAGAGACACAGUAGAACACGCUGCUUUAAAAAAAAA